AGGGUCACCAUCCUAUCCGUGGGUGACUUGUGUUUCUCAGUGUAUCUAUGAGGAUUCUUUCACAGCUCAUAAAUGAUAAAACUCCAAGAGAACAGGAUAUCGUAAUUAAAUUCUAGUGUUCCACUGCUGAGCACCGUAAAAUCAGUUAUUUUAGAAGGCCAAAUUCUUCAUUUUCCACAGUACCAGAGAUUGCUGAAGGCCAAUUGUAAACAUCAUAUUAGUAGAAGCAAAACAAAUGAAAGAAAAAGGCACAUACAGACUAUGUACUUUUAUAUUAACACUACUACCUUUUGAUAUACCUACCUUCUAUUAAGCUUGAGAAAUGGAUAGGUUUAUUAUUAAAAUAAGAAAAGAAACUGACAAAGGGAAGUCUAAUGAAAGUGCUAAUAAUAGCACAAUCGCCUCGGAACCUGAAGUUACAAACUUACAGGAAGAUAAUGCUUGCACCAGUCAUAGCGCAUGUAGUUCUGACCAGCAACAAAUCGCAGUCACAUCAGAAUCCGAAGUUCCAUACUUACAGGAAGAUAAUGCUGACAUCGGUUGUGCGGAAUGUAGUUCUGACCAACCACAAACUGCAGUCACCUCAGAAUCUGAAGUUCCACACUUACAGGAAGAUAAUGCUGACAUCCUUAAUAGUGCAUGUUGUUCAACUUCUGACCAACAACAAACCUCUUUGCCUCUCAGUUCAAGUCCAUGUAGUUCUUAUUCAAAGCCUGCAAAUACUC